UCGGUUGAUCCUGCCGGAGGCUACCGCUAUUGGAGUUCGAUUAAGCCAUGCGAGUCGCGAGAAUUAGAUUCUCGGCGUACCGCUCAGUAACACGUGGGUAACCUGCCCUAUGCUGGAUAAUAACCUCGGGAAACUGAGAAUAAUGAUCCAUAGUUCACUACGCCUGGAACGGUGAGUGGAUGAAAGCUCCGGCGGCAUAGGAUGGGCCUGCGGCGUAUCAGGUUGUAGGGGGUGUAACGUACCCUCUAGCCCUCUACGCGUACGGGUGUUGGGAGACAUAGCCCGGAGAUGGAUUCUGAGACACGAAUCCAGACCCUACGGGGUGCAGCAGGCGCGAAAACUUGGCAAUGCGAGAAAUCGUGACCAGGGAACUCCAAGUGCAUGGGGUAAGACCCAUGCUUUUCUUGACUCUAAAUAGGUCUUGGAAUAAGGGGUGGGUAAGGACGGUGCCAGCCGCCGCGGUAAUACCGGCGCCUCAAGUGGUAGUCGCUUUUAUUGGGCCUAAAACGUCCGUAGCCGGUCUGAUACAUUCGUGGGUAAAUCAACCAGCUUAACUGGUUGAAUUCUGCGAGGACGGUCAGACUUGGGACCGGGAGAGGUGUGGGGUACGCUCAGGGUAGGGGUAAAAUCCUGUCAUCCUGAGCGGACCACCUGUUGCGAAGGCGCCACACUAGAACGGAUCCGACGGUCAGGGACGAAGCCUAGGGGCACGAACCGGAUUAGAUACCCGGGUAGUCCUAGGUGUAAACGCUGUGGACUUGAUGUUGGGGGUGCUCCGAGCACUCUCAGUGUCGAAGCGAAGGUGAUAAGUCCACUGCCUGGGAAGUACGGUCGCAAGGCUGAAACUUAAAGGAAUUGGCGGGGGAGCACCGCAACCUGAGGAUUGUGCGGUUUAAUUGGAUUCAACGCCGG
rnacentral:rRNA from 1 species